GGACUGCUUUAACCUUGUCAGGGUUGUGGUGGAUCCAUAGCCUAUCCUGGGAACACCUAUCCUGAGUAUGAGGCAGGAAUAAACCAAGGAUCAGACACGACACCAAGAAAACUGGAAAACCCAGAGGAAACCCAUGCAGGCAUGAAGAGAACACAUGAAACUAUAUACAGACAGGAAUCUGAGUUCAGGAUCAAAUCGGGGACAUUGAAGCUGUGAAGUGAGCAAGCACAAGAGCAAAAAGAGCAAGUGAUACUGAAAGGACUCACUGCAUUAUUCUUGUUAAAGUUCAGCUGUCAUGCUCCAUCAAAACAGCCAUUUUUGAUAAUUGACUACUUUAUCACAUGGAUUCAACAGAAAAUACUCAACACCUAAUGCUGUCACUCCUGAUCACCUUCUUCACCAGCUAAUUAAACAACAACAACAACAGCAGCAAAAGGUAAUUGGCUCCC
ensembl:lncRNA